UAUCCAGGAGAAACAAGAAGGUUCUCCACAAGAACCCUAAACUCAUAAAAAUCCAACGAAUCAAAGGGAAAACGAGCUAGAAAUUUGGGGCUUUUACUAAAUUCGUGAUCAUCAAAACUAGGAGAUCACAAGGCACGGUGGUUGAAUCUUCAAGCGGUCAAGUCGGAGCGGACGCGCGCUUGAAGGAUAUGCUUUGAAAGGUGAUGUUGGUCUCGCUCCGGAUGGCGAUUAAGCAUGAAUUCAAGAACCGAACACAUCGUUUUGAAGCUUCUGCGUUAAUCUAAAUUCUUGUAGACAAUGUUUAUUUUGUAAACACUUAACUUGAUGUCUCUCAUGUUUAAACUAGUUAGUUAGAUAGUAAACUAAGAUACUAUCAUUAUGAAAUCUUAUCGUUUUGUAUAACUUUUGAAAUGACGCAUUUAUUUUAAAAAUGCUUAUUUUAUGUUAAAAUC